AUGGAAACAUAGCUGUAUGGUUUUUAGACCACAUUGAUAGAAAAAUGGGCGUUUACAACUCAAUCCUAGAGCACUGUCAUUCUUCUGACUGUAAUUCCUGGACCUUUUAAGGCAAGUGGAAUUAUAUCAUGUAUCCUCAGCCAUCAGAUCUUGAUCUAAAAUAAUGAAGGCUUACUGCAACAUGGUGUUCCUCCCUCAAUUUGGAAACACAGAGCUCCCUGAGAAGCUGUUGGAAAAAGGUUUUAAGAGUAAAUGCUUUCAACGUCUCUUAGAGAGAGGUGAGAUGAAUACAAAAAGAGUGCUCACAAAAAAGUGAAGAAAAAUG